GUGACAUACCUAAACGUUGCUUCGGCGGGAACAGACGGCCCCGUGAAACGGGCCGCCCCCGCCAGAGGACCCCUAACUCUGUUUCUAUAAUGUUUCUUCUGAGUAAAACAAGCAAAUAAAUUAAAACUUUCAACAACGGAUCUCUUGGCUCUGGCAUCGAUGAAGAACGCAGCGAAAUGCGAUAAGUAAUGUGAAUUGCAGAAUUCAGUGAAUCAUCGAAUCUUUGAACGCACAUUGCGCCCGCCAGUAUUCUGGCGGGCAUGCCUGUUCGAGCGUCAUUACAACCCUCAGGCCCCCGGGCCUGGCGUUGGGGAUCGGCGGAGCCCCCCGUGGGCACACGCCGUCCCCCAAAUACAGUGGCGGUCCCGCCGCAGCUUCCAUCGCGUAGUAGCUAACACCUCGCGACUGGAGAGCGGCGCGGCCACGCCGUAAAACACCCAACUCUUCUGAAGUUGACCUCGAAUCAGGUAGGAAUACCCGCUGAACUUAAGCAUAUCAAU
rnacentral:rRNA from 1 species